rfam:Triticum aestivum genome assembly, contig: Triticum_aestivum_CS42_TGACv1_scaffold_130766_2BL
GUAAUACUCCUCCAUCCGGAAAUACUUAUCAUCAAAAUGCAUAAAGGGAAUGUAUCUAGAUGUAUUUUAGUUCUAGAUACACCACUUUUUGUCCAUUUUGAUGACGAGUAUUUUCGGAUGGAGGGAGUAUGUU